UACGUAGGGGGCUAGCGUUGUCCGGAAUCAUUGGGCGUAAAGCGCGUGUAGGCGGCCCGGUAAGUCCGCUGUGAAAGUCGGGGGCUCAACCCUCGGAAGCCGGUGGAUACUGUCGGGCUGGAGUACGGAAGAGGCGAGUGGAAUUCCUGGUGCAGGCGGUGAAAUGCGCAGAUAUCAGGAGGAACACCUAUUGCGAAGGC
rnacentral:rRNA from 1 species